CCUACGGGAGGCAGCAGUGGGGAAUAUUGGGCAAUGGGCGCAAGCCUGACCCAGCAACGCCGCGUGAAGGAAGAAGGCUCUCGGGUUGUAAACUUCUUUUGUCAGGGAAGAGUAGAAGACGGUACCUGACGAAUAAGCCACGGCUAACUACGUGCCAGCAGCCGCGGCAAUACGUAGGUUGCAAGCGUUACCCGGAUUUAGUGGGUGUAAAGGGCGUGUAGCCGGGUUGACAAGUCAGAUGUGAAAUCCUGCGGCUUAACCGUAGAACUACAGUUGACACUGUGGGUCUUGAGUACGGGGGAGGCAGGCGGAAUUCCUGGUGUAGCGGUGAAAUGCGUAGAUAUUAGGAAGAACCCCAAUGGCGAAGGCAGUCUGCUGGACAGUUACUGACGGUGAGGCGCGAAAGCGUGGGGAGCGAACAGGAUUAGAUACCCUGGUAGUC
rnacentral:rRNA from 1 species